GGGCCCGCACAAGCAGUGGAGUAUGUGGUUUAAUUCGAAGAAACGCGAAAAACCUUACCAGGGCUUGACAUGUAAGUGAAUACUUAAGAAAUUAAGUAGCUCUUCGGAGCACUUAUGCAGGUGGUGCAUGGUUGUCGUCAGCUCGUGUCGUGAGAUGUUGGGUUAAGUCCCGCAACGAGCGCAACCCCUGUGAUUAGUUACCAACGAGUAAUGUCGGGAACUCUAAUCAGACUGCCGGUGAUAAAUCGGAGGAAGGUGGGGAUGACGUCAAAUCAUCAUGCCCCUUAUGUCCUGGGCAACACACGUACUACAAUGGCCGCAACAAAAAGAAGCAAUAUAGUGAUAUGGAGCAAAACUUAAAAAAGCGGUCUCAGUUCGGAUUGAAGGCUGAAAUUCGCCUUCAUGAAGUCGGAAUUGCUAGUAAUGGCAGGUCAGCAUACUGCCGUGAAUACGUUCCCGGGCCUU
rnacentral:rRNA from 1 species